AUUUUUUGUAUUGUUUUUUCUUCUUCUUAU
rnacentral:sRNA from 1 species